rnacentral:rRNA from 1 species
UACGUGAGGUGGCAAGCGUUGUCCGGAUUUAUUGGGGUUUAAAGGGUGGCGUAGGCGGUCUAUUAAGUCAGUGGUGAAAUAUCGCAGCUUAACUGUGAGGGUGCCAUUGAUACGUGAUGGACUUGAGUGAAGUCGAGGUAGGCGGAAUUGACGGUGUAGCGGUGAAAUGCUUAGAUAUCGUCAAGAACACCAAUAGUGAAGACAGCUUACUAGGCUUAUACUGACGCUGAGGCACGAAAGUGUGGGGAGUCAAACAGG